rnacentral:rRNA from 1 species
GGUUAAGAAAGUAAGGGCGUAUGGUGAAUGCCUUGACACUUGGAGACGAAGAAGGACGCGGUAACCUGCGAAAAGCCUCGGCUAGAGGGUAACACUCAAAACCGGGGGUAUCCGAAUGGGGGAACCCAACUACAGCUAAUGUAGUUAUCUAUAUAUGAAUACAUAGUAUAUAGAAGGAAGACCUAGGGAACUGAAACAUCUUAGUACCUAGAGGAAAAGAAAACAAAAAGUUAUUCCCUAAGUAGCGGCGAGCGAACGGGGAGAAGCCCAAACCCGACUUAGGUUGGGGGUUGUAGGACCACAACAUGAGAUAAGAAUUAUAGUUGAAGCUGUUGGGAAGCAGCGCCAUAGUGAGUGAAAGCCUCGUAGACGAAAUGAUUCGAAGUUUCUAGUGGAAUCCUGAGUACAACGGGACACGAGAAAUCCUGUUGGAAUCUGCCAGGACCAUCUGGUAAGGCUAAAUACUACCAAGUGAUCGAUAGUGAACCAGUACCGUGAGGGAAAGGUGAAAAGAACCCCGGGAGGGGCAGUGAAAGAGAACCUGAAACCAUAUGCUUACAAAAAGUUAGAGCCCGUUAAGGGGUGAUAGCGUGCCUUUUGUAGAAUGAACCGGCGAGUUACGAUUGCAUGCAAGGUUAAAUAA